GACGUAGGAGGCGAGCGUUAUCCGGAUUCAUUGGGCGUAAAGGGCAAGUAGGCGGUUGUCAAAGUUGGGCGUGACAUCUCCUGGCUUAAACUAGGAGGGGUCGUUCAAAACUAGGCGACUAGAGGGCAGAAGAGGAAAGCGGAACUCCUGAUGUAGCGGUGGAAUGCUCAGAUAUCAGGAAGAACACCAGUGGCGAAGGCGGCUUUCUGGUCUGCACCUGACGCUGAGAGGCGAAGGCCAGGGUAGCGAACGGGCUUAGAUACCCCUGUA
rnacentral:rRNA from 1 species